GUGAAUCAUCGAAUUUUUGAACGCAAAUUGCACUCUCUUCGGAGAGUAUGCCUGUUCGAGGGUCAGCCUAAAAAAAAUCGACAUCGAUGCUGUUUCGCGGGGGCGGUGGUCGGAAACUGGGUUUUCUUUAAUCUUUGUUUUAAGCGACUUAAAAUUUUCUUUACGAUUCCAUUAACGGUUUCAUUAUUUUGUUCUUUACACGCUUAAGUAUUUGUUUUUAU
rnacentral:misc_RNA from 1 species